rnacentral:lncRNA from 1 species
UACCCCUCAUUGUCCUAUUAGCACCAUAGCUAUCACUACCUCAUCACUUUUUCAUCACUCCUCGAUAACUAUCCCGUCACUACUUCACUACACUAUCACUAUGAGAUGGUCGCGAUGGCCAGGGCCGGUGAAUAAUAGUAUAAUGGUCGAGGUGGUCGAGGUGGUCAAGAAGGUCGAGAAGGUCGAGAUGGUCGAGGUGGUCGAGAAGGAUUGAUGUGGUCGAGAAAGUCGAGGAGGUCGAGAUGGUCGAGAAGGUCGAGAUGGUCGAGAAGGUCGAGAAGGUCGAGGUGGUCGAGAUGGUCGAGAUGGUCGAGGUGGUCGAGGUGGUCGAGGUGGUCGAGAAGG